ACCUCAAAUCAGGUAAGGAUACCCGCUGAACUUAAGCAUAUCAAUAAGCGGAGGAAAAGAAAAUAACAAUGAUUUCCCUAGUAACUGCGAGUGAAGAGGGAUAAGCUCAAAUUUUAAAUCUGUUAGGUUCACCUAGCCGAGUUGUAAUUUGAAGAAACGUUUUCUCGCUCAUGAUCAGCCCAAGUCCUAUUGAAUGAGGCAUCAUGGAGGGUGAUAAUCCCGUACGGUUGAUCAAUGGGUUUUACGAUACGUUUUCAAAGAGUCAAGUUGUUUGGGAUUGCAGCUUCAAAUGGGAGGUAAAUUUCUCCUAAGGCUAAAUAUUGGCGAGAGACCGAUAGCGAACAAGUACCGUGAGGGAAAGAUGAAAAGCAUUUUGAAAAGAAAGUCAAAUAGUACGUGAAAUUGUUGAAAGGGAAACGAUUGAAGUCAGUCGUACCGAUGGGUAUUCAGCUCCUUGAGCGCGAUUAUGCGGGCGUUGUGGAGUUUAACCCCUCGCGUUUGCAUAUUUGUGCACUUAGGGUGUACUUGCUCGUAUGGUAGGUUAACAUCAAUUUUGGUCGUCAUAAAAUGACGGGAGGAAAGUAGCUUCGAUCUCGCGUUGAAGUGUUACAGCCUCUGGUAGAUGUGAUGAUCGAGAUUGAGGAUUGCAACGAACCCUUCGGGGCUAUCCGCCUGGCCUCUGGUGGCCGCUCUGGUGUCGAAAGCUUGCUUACGGUCAUCAAAGUUGGACGUUAAAAGGCUAGAACGGGUUAAAUCCGUUAAGGAUGUUGACGUAAUGGCUUUAAGCGACCCGUCUUGAAACACGGACCAAGGAGUCUAACAUGUAUGCGAGUGUUA
rnacentral:rRNA from 1 species